rnacentral:rRNA from 1 species
GAGUUUGAUCCUGGCUCAGAACGAACGCUGGCGGCGUGCCUAACACAUGCAAGUCGGAUGCGAACGUCUGUUUCGGCGGGCAAGUAGCAUGGCAGACGGGUGAGGAACGCGUACCUGACCUGACGCGCGAAGGGGGAUAGUCCUCCGAAAGGGGGUUGAAUACCGCAUACGUUCCUGAGGGGAGCUUCAGGAAGAAAGGUGGCCUCUGCGAGCAAGCUACCGUCGGGCGAGGGGGGUGCGUCCUAUUAGCUAGUUGGUGGGGUAAGGGCCUACCAAGGCGGCGAUGGGUAGCUGGUCUGAGAGGAUGAGCAGCCACACUGGGACUGUGACACGGCCCAGACUCCUACGGGAGGCAGCAGUGGGGAAUUUUGCGCAAUGGGGGGAACCCUGACGCAGCAACGCCGCGUGAGUGAAGACGCCGUUCGCGGUGUAAAGCUCUGUGAGGAGGGACGAAGGCCGCGGGUGAAGAGCCCUGCGGAAUGACGGUACCUUCCGAGCAAGCCCCGGCUAACUCCGUGCCAGCAGCCGCGGUAAGACGGAGGGGGCGAGCGUUGUUCGGAAUUACUGGGCGUAAAGGGCCCGUAGC